GGGGAGUUCUGGAUACACAGGAGAAAAAUGAGCAUGAUGAGAAGGAUGAGGAGGGUUAGAGGAGAAGGAGAAAGGUAUUUAAUUAUCUAAAGGGAAGGUGCUUCUCCCAUUGUGGUAGAAUCUUUCCACACACAAUUCCCUCGUAAACUCUGGAUCCUCUUGAAAUCUAUUGAUAUGACUGCACCAAGUCUGGAGGUUUUUACAAUGUUUCAAGUUCUGAGACCACUAGGAUUCAUUCAUAAGAAUUACCCCUAUCCAGGACCUCUGUAAACAAGUGGAAGUAUUAAUGCAUCAAUACAAACAUCUGUGGAGAUACCAGGCUGGACAGACCAAACCCAGGUGCACAAAGGCAUGGAGGAGGGACUUGGAGCCGUCCGGGGGCCACGGCGAGUUUGCCUCCUGCCAUGGGACAUGAAGGGGACAAGGUCGCACAGGAGGGAGUGGCUCCUCAGCAGUUUCACUGUAGUGGCCAAGUCCAAAGAGAAGCAACAACGUGGUCACCUGCCGUGGAAGCCCAGAAGAGACGCGUGAGCGCUUUGGGAAGACGCUAAUUGCUUUGACAUAUUUCUGCAAAGCUUGCAAAAAUCAGCACUUGGGAGGGCAGAGGCGAAGGAUUGUGAUGUGGAAGAAAAAGGCGCGGAGAUGUCAUCGGCCGAGGUCUGCCUUGGGUUCAAGAGCAGUUUUCACCUGCAGAAGAUGUUGGUCAGCAGCAAAUCAGUUGGUGAGAAGCAUUACAAAGAAAGGAAAAGAUGACAUCCUUUCCCUUGGGUUCUCUAUUCCCAGGCAAGAGGCCACAAGUCACAGAGAACACAUGUCAACAGAAAUGACCAACAGCCACACAAACAGUUACUAAUUCAAGUACAAAACGCAUCUGCGGUGUGGUCACUGAGACAAAUCCGCAAGAUGGUUCUCCGCAAUCGGCGAAUCAGCGAGGACCGGCCACGGAGGAACAUACCCCCCACACAAGGAACUGUUUGUUGAAGUGUUUACCAAAAAAUUCCAUUUCAACGCGGCUGUUCUGACACCAUGGGCGCAAAGACGCACCUUCAGCUCAGAGCUUCCUCCUUUCCCUUCUACUGUGCCUCAAACUCGGCUCAUUCCCAGGAGCAGGUGAGCCAGGAGCCACAGCGGCAUGCAGGGCCGGGGAAGCCGGGGAAGUGGGGGCUGAAAAGCGGGGUCCCCUGGGGGCAGAGUGCCCUAAAGGGACAGUGAGGCCCUGCUGAGAGCCAGGGGGACGGGGAGGAGGCCUGGAGGGGCUAGUGGGAGGCAGACUGCCCCAAGUGAGUCAACGCCCCAGGCAUUCCGCGCCCCUCGAGCACAGCUGAGUGCCCAUCCCUGCCCGGGCCAGGAGGGGUCCGGCGGGGGCAGUGCCCUCAGGAACCAGUCUGGCCAGGAGAUGAGACACACGGACGACGUACAACACAUUGUUCCAGGAAACUCUGGCAGCGCAGGGGACUGCGAAGGAGCCAUCCUCUUGAAAGGGCUUGCUCAGAAAUUGCUGACCCAGCCUUAGCUGCACUAACAAGUGAAUUAUCUUCGGCAUGAUGGAGAGGUCACUCACUGAGUUAUGGGCCUACAGCUCUAUUGCAAUGUUUAUACAGAUAAAAGCACGGGCAUUAAGAGGUCUCGUGAAGCCCCCGUGUGCUUUUUAAAACCACAAGUCAUGUCAGAGAUCGUUCGGUGCCUCCGUGCCACAGGUAAAGAAACGUGCUUGAAUUCAUAUGGUCACUUAGCAGCCCAAGCAGAGAGAGGACCUGGCUCUCCGCCAAGGCGGGUCUCCGAGGUCUGAAAUGAGUUAGAAGCAAUUCUAGCUGCACCUGAAUUAAACCCGCCACCUCGCCCUCCCUCGGUGUUCUACUCCAUUUGCUUGCCCUGUACCCGUCAUUCCCUUCCACGCAUUGCAGGGCCUCUCUACACGGGCAUCAACGGACUUCCUAAGACUCGGAAGCUCAGAUCCCUAAGUCUGUUCCUGGAGCAGUCAACUUCCAUAAAGCAUUUUUUCACUCUACUGUUUACAGGAGGGAGCAGGUGGGAGCCUGUACCUUCCUGACGUGACUCCUUUUCCCAUGAUGUGUGGAUUUUACAGUCUGAUGUCGACACCGUGAGAUGCACAGCCACGUGGUCCCCAUGUCGUGGAAUGCUCCAGGCUGUGGACCGUUCUUCAGCAGUCACUGCGGUGACGUGACUGCGCCACUUCUUGUGUUGUUAACGCGCAGCAAGCCUCCCGACGGGCCCGGCGUCCUGUGGCCGUGACGCCACGCCUGGCACUUGGCAGAUGCUCCAUCACUGCUUAAUCGUCCCACACAUUUAGUGUCUAGUACAGCUCGGCACCGUGCUUGGGGCACAGACGUAAAUAUGAUGUGGCCACUCUCUGCAAGAGGCUCACUCCCAGCUUGAUUCCAUUUAAAUAAUUUUUAACCGACUAAAGCCGUGUGCCCAAGCACCAAGCUGCCCAAGGGUGUCCUGUGGACAUGUCACUUAGGUAGAGCCUCUGGCUUGCUCUGGCUCACAGAUCGAAUUGAUUGGGCCAGCAGCUGGUGACUACUGCACCAGUCCAAACAUGCACUGCCUUCUGCUCGGCUCUCAACUUACAGGCUGACGGCUCAAGAGGCCUCUUUUUCUCCUUCAAAAGUCAAAGAUCUGCCACCUUCCUUCCACUCCUUCCUUGUUAUGUCUUUUGAAACAUUCCCCAAUCUCCGACUUAGAGCAAAAACAGUUGAAGGUUGAGGUACUGAUCCCCAAAAGAAAACAGAGUGGCAGUUUGUCUUCAGUCCUUCGGGUGUUUUGCUCAGGUUGUCCGCGUAAGCCCUGAACAGAAGUUCUUUCACACAUUUGAGAAGAAAUAAGGAUUAUUUGUGUGCCUAAAGGGAAAUGGAUAUCUUUGGCAAUAACAGUACCAUAUAUGAGGUGUUUAGUUCUCAAUGCUUUCCUAAUUUGUAUUUUGAUGGAAUUAAUUUUCUUUAUGGAGCAGGUUAAGCAAUAAAGGAUUUUUUUAAAUCAGUUAUCUAGACACAGUUCCUUCAUCUUUGCAACAUGGUUUGUGCAGACAGAAAAUAAUUUAGCUUACAUGUCAUUAAAAAUUAGCUUAUUUUACUUAGGCAAAAGGGAUAAUUGUGGUGAGUGAUGAGGUAUUAAUACAAUAGAAAAAUAAUCGUUUGGCUGAAAUGUUUUUUAUUAUUGUAGGAGUGCUGAAAUUGUGAGAAUAGCUGUCAUUAGGCCAAGAGUCAUCAGGUAAUCUAUUGUGUCUCCUUUUUACCUAGUGUAAAAGUGUGCAGAGGCCUUCUUCUAUUACGCUUGCUUGCAAACACCACACACAAAUAAAGACAACCACGUGGGAAAAUAAAGCCUGUCUUGGGUGUGAGUUUUGGGGCAACUCCGCCACUUCAUAACAUUAUUUAUCAAGUAUUUUGCAAAUUUCUG
rnacentral:lncRNA from 1 species